CCAGGCUUCCCCAAACUCCGGCCCUCCAGAUGUUGCUGAACUACAACUCCCAUGAUUCUAUGAAUGAAAUAGAUAGGCUGAGAAUCAUGGGAGUUGUAGUCCAGCAACAUCUGGAGGGUUGGAGUUUGGGGAAGCCUGUUUUAGAC